AUUGAACGCUGGCGGCAGGCCUAACACAUGCAAGUCGGGCUAGUGGCGGACGUGUGAGUAAUGUAUGGGGAUCUGCCCGAUGGAGGGGGAUAACUACUGGAAACGGUAGCUAAUACCUCAUACCAUCAGAUGAACCCAUAUGGGAUUAGCUUGUAGGUGUGGUAACGGCUCACCUAGGCGACGAUCCCUAGCUGGUCUGAUAGGAUGAUCAGCCACACUGGGACUGAGACACGGCCCAGACUCCUACGGGAGGCAGCAGUGGGGAAUAUUGCACAAUGGGCGCAAGCCUGAUGCAGCCAUGCCGCGUGUAUGAAGAAGGCCUUCGGGUUGUAAAGUACUUUCAGUCGGGAGGCGUUACCGGCAGAAGAAGCACCGGCUAACUCCGUGACAGCAGCCGCGGUAAUAC
rnacentral:rRNA from 1 species